UAGGGAAUCUUCCACAAUGGGCGAAAGCCUGAUGGAGCAACGCCGCGUGUGUGAGGUGAAGGGUUUCGGCUCGUAAAACACUGUUGUAAGAGAAGAAUGACAUUGAGAGUAACUGUUCAAUGUGUGACGGUAUCUUACCAGAAAGGAACGGCUAAAUACGUGCCAA
rnacentral:rRNA from 1 species